rnacentral:rRNA from 1 species
CGCGACCCCAGGUCAGGCGGGGCUACCCGCUGAGUUUAAGCAUAUCAAUAAGCGGAGGAAAAGAAACUAACGAGGAUUCCCCUAGUAACGGCGAGCGACGGGGGAAAAUUUUAA